UCGUAACAAGGUAACCUUUAGAGUUUGAAUUCUGGCUCAGGAUGAACGCUGGCGGCGUGCUUAACACAUGCAAGUCGAACGAUGAUGCUGGUGCUUGCACUGGUGGAUUAGUGGCGAACGGGUGAGUAACACGUGAGUAACCUGCCCCUGACUUCGGGAUAAGCCCGGGAAACUGGGUCUAAUACCGGAUAUGACUUCCUGCUGCAUGCCAGGGGGUGGAAAGAUUUAUCGGUUGGGGAUGGACUCGCGGCCUAUCAGCUUGUUGGUGAGGUAAUGGCUCACCAAGGCGACGACGGGUAGCCGCCCUGAGAGGGUGACCGGCCCCACUGGGACUGAGACACGGCCCAGAUUCCUACGGGAGGCACCAGUGGGGAAUAUUGCACAAUGGGCGAAAGCCUGAUGCAGCGACGCCGCGUGAGGGAUGACGCCCUUCGGGUUGUAAACCUCUUUCAGUAGGGAAGAAGCCCCUUUUUGGGGUGACGGUACUUGCAGAAGAAGCGCCGGCUAACUACGUGCCAGCAGCCGCGGUAAUACGUAAGGCGCAAGCGUUAUCCGGAAUUAUUGGGCGUAAAGAGCUCGUAAGCGGUUUGUCGCGUCUGCCGUGAAAGUCCGAAGCUCAACCUCGGAUCUGCGGUGGGUACGGGCAGACUAGAGUGAUGUAGGGGAGACUGGAAUUCCUGGUGUAGCGGUGAAAUGCGCAGAUAUCAGGAGGAACACCGAUGGCGAAGGCAGGUCUCUGGGCAUUUACUGACGCUGAAGAACGAAAGCAUGGGGAGCGAACAGGAUUAGAUACCCUGGUAGUCCAUGCCGUAAACGUUGGGCACUAAGUGUGGGGGACAUUCCACGUUUUCCGCGCCGUAACUAACGCAUUAAGUGCCCCGCCUGGGGAGUACGGCCGCAAGGCUAAAACUCAAAGGAAUUGACGGGGGCCCGCACAAGCGGCGGAACAUGCGGAUUAAUUCCAUGCAACGCGAAAAACCUUACCAAGGCUUGACAUGUUCCAGACCGGGCCAGAAAUGGUCUUUCCCCUUUUGGGGCUGGUUCACAGGUGGUGCAUGGUUGUCCUCAGCUCGUGUCGUGAGAUGUUGGGUUAAGUCCCGCAACGAGCGCAACCCUCGUUCCAUGUUGCCAGCGGGUUAUGCCGGGGACUCAUGGGAGACUGCCGGGGUCAACUCGGAAGAAGGUGGGGAUGACGUCAAUCAUCAUGCCCCUUAUGUCUUGGGCUUCAGCAUGCUACAUGGCCGGUACAUGGGUUGCGAUACUGUGAGGUGGAACUAAUCCCUAAAAGCCGGUCUCAGUUCGGAUUGGGGUCUGCAACUCGACCCAUGAAGUCGGAAUCGCUAGUAUCGCAGAUCACAACGCUGCGGUGAUACGUUCCCGGGCUUGUACCACCGCCCGUCAGUCACAAAGUUGUAACCCCGAACCGAUGGCUAACACCUUGGUGGGGGAUCGUCAAAGUGGACUGCCAUGGGAUAGUCUACCAAGGGGACCCGAAAAAGGGACGAGCGG
rnacentral:rRNA from 1 species